GGAGAGAUGGCUCAGCAGUUAAGAGCACUCGACUACUGUUCCAGAGGUCCUGAGUUCAAUUCCCAGCAAUCACCU
rfam:Rattus norvegicus chromosome 10, whole genome shotgun sequence.